UGAUCAUCAGAUAUCAAAGAGUUGAUAACAAUAGUUCUCAAAAUAUUUCCUCUUCCCUCAGAGACUUCUUAAAGGAUUGCGGUUCAACCUAGGAAUUUUCUCCACAAAUAGCAGUGCUGAUUUGCUUUACUUUGUGAGUAAACUAACACUGUCCAGGCAAGUAUGUCAGCAGGGGUGCUGACUGUGGCUCUGCAGGAAGUCACAUGCCUUUUUUGUGACCACUAUCGUUAUCCCUCCUCUUUUGAAGCCCCAUAAUUCUAAUCUCCUACAUCCAAUAGGCUGAGGGAAGUGUAGAGUAUUUGUAGGUGAGCAGGGGGCAGGGCAACAACGUUCCUUGGCAUCUUUGGCUGUUAGGUACAUUCUGGGGUUGAUUAACAACAAAUACAUACAGUAUGCUUCAUCUCUUAGGUCCAGCCAAAGCCUCCUGAAUGAAAACACGAAAAUCCACGUUAGAAAACCUCAGACAUUGAAGUUUUGUUUAGAAAUGGAAAAAACAAAAAGGCAUUUUGGUCGUGUGAGUGAUAAAAUUGAGCAAUGGGCGACAGAGUAGAGUUAUAAAGUUUCACUUGGGUUGUCUUCAUCCAUUUUCUUUCUUUUCAGGUAUCUUUGGGACUGUUUCUACUUUUUCUUUUUCUCUUUCUUUCUUUCUUUUCUUUUCUUUUCUUUUUUUUUUUUUUUUGCAGACAGAGUCUCAUUCUGUUGCCCAGGCUGGAGUGCAGUGGCAUGAUCUUGACUCACUGCAGCCUCAACCCCCUGGACUCAACUGAUCCUCCCACCUCAGCCUCCCAAGUAGCUGGGACUACAGAUGUACACCACCACGCCCGGCUAAUUUUUUGUAUUUUUUGUAGAGAUGAGGUUUUGCCAUGUGGCACAGGCUGGUUUUGAACUCCUGGACUCAAGCAAUCCCCCUGCCUCAGCCUCCCAAAGUGCUGGGAUUAUAGGCGUGAGCCACUGCACCAGUCCAUGUUUCUAAUUCUUGGUUAACAAUGAAAUUUGGGGCAGUUACUUUCCAGAUUGCUACUGAAGAUGUCACCCCAAUAAAGGGCAGAUGUUAUUGUGAACUCAACAAGGACACAGAUAUCACGAACAGUUUGCUAAUAAUAAUUUCCCCCAGUUUAUCUUUGAGCAAAAAAAUAUGUCUCUGGAUAUUUUAUAUUUACCGGGGGAAAAAAACUAAGAACCUUUGGGGGUAAAUGUUGUUUUUUAAAAUAUUAUUAUUAUUUCCUAUGGAUAAAUUUGCUUACAAACUACAUCAUGCAAUACUUUGGAGUGUUUCUGGGGAACUCUGGGAAACAUCUCUGGAAAGACCACACUUCCAUCCAGAAUGGAUAACUCAAUCUGGGGAAAGUCAGCUGCCAUUUAUGAACAGCCCUAUGGAGAGGCCCUCAAAGUCAAGGGACUGUAGUGUCUGACAGGAGCCAUGUGAGUGGGCUCAGAAGCAGACUCUCCAGUCGCAGUCAAGCCUACGAUGACUGCAGCCCCAACCAACAACUGAAUAACCACGUCAUGAUAGAUACUGAGCCAGAAUCACCCAGCUAAGCUGCUCUCAAAUUCCUGAUCACAGAAAGUGUGAGAUAAUAAAUGUUUGUUAUCUAAA
rnacentral:lncRNA from 10 species